rnacentral:pre_miRNA from 12 species
CAAUUCCAGAGAACAAGUCUCUUCUGACACACCCUAACUGAGGGCAUUUAUUGGAUGUUUGGAAAGAUAAGUGUUCUCUGUUGGGGUGAGACAGGUUGAGGACUGGGCUGUCUCAGAAA